UGGGGAAUCUUGGACAAUGGGCGCAAGCCUGAUCCAGCCAUGCCGCGUGGAUGAUGAAGGCCUUAGGGUUGUAAAAUCCUUUCGUGGGGGACGAUAAUGACGGUACCCCAAGAAGAAGCUCCGGCUAACUUCGUGCCAGCAGCCGCGGUAAUACGAAGGGGGCUAGCGUUGUUCGGAUUUACUGGGCGUAAAGCGCGUGUAGGCGGGUCGUUAAGUUGGGGGUGAAAUCCCGAGGCUCAACCUCGGAACUGCCUUCAAAACUGGCGACCUGGACUCAAGCAGAGGCAAGUGGAAUUGCGAGUGUAGAGGUGAAAUGCGUAGAUAUCUGGAGGAACACCGGUGGCGAAGGCGGCAUCCUGGACCGGCAUUGACGCUGAGACGCGAAAGCGUGGGGAGCAAACAGGAUUAGAUACCCCAGUAGUCCCUGAGCGGGCUGGCAAGGCGCAU
rnacentral:rRNA from 1 species